rnacentral:rRNA from 1 species
AGUUUGAUCCUGGCUCAGGAUGAACGCUGGCGGCGUGCCUAACACAUGCAAGUCGAGCGAAGCAUACAGAAUGAAGUUUUCGGAUGGAUUUCUGUAUGACUGAGCGGCGGACGGGUGAGUAACGCGUGGGUAACCUGCCUUAUACAGGGGGAUAACAGUUAGAAAUGACUGCUAAUACCGCAUAAGCGCACAGUACCGCAUGGUAGUGUGUGAAAAACUCCGGUGGUAUAAGAUGGACCCGCGUCUGAUUAGCCAGUUGCGGGGUAACGGCCCACCAAAGCGACGAUCAGUAGCCGACCUGAGAGGGUGACCGGCCACAUUGGGACUGAGACACGGCCCAAACUCCUACGGGAGGCAGCAGUGGGGAAUAUUGCACAAUGGGGGAAACCCUGAUGCAGCAACGCCGCGUGAGUGAAGAAGUAUUUCGGUAUGUAAAGCUCUAUCAGCAGGGAAGAAGAUGACGGUACCUGACCAAGAAGCCCCGGCUAACUACGUG